ACCGCCAGCUAAGGUCCCAAAGUCAUGGUUAAGUGGGAAACGAUGUGGGAAGGCCCAGACAGCCAGGAUGUUGGCUUAGAAGCAGCCAUCAUUUAAAGAAAGCGUAAUAGCUCACUGGUCGAGUCGGCCUGCGCGGAAGAUGUAACGGGGCUAAACCAUGCACCGAAGCUGCGGCAGCGACGCUUAUGCGUUGUUGGGUAGGGGAGCGUUCUGUAAGCCUGCGAAGGUGUACUGUGAGGUAUGCUGGAGGUAUCAGAAGUGCGAAUGCUGACAUAAGUAACGAUAAAGCGGGUGAAAAGCCCGCUCGCCGGAAGACCAAGGGUUCCUGUCCAACGUUAAUCGGGGCAGGGUGAGUCGACCCCUAAGGCGAGGCCGAAAGGCGUAGUCGAUGGGAAACAGGUUAAUAUUCCUGUACUUGGUGUUACUGCGAAGGGGGGACGGAGAAGGCUAUGUUGGCCGGGCGACGGUUGUCCCGGUUUAAGCGUGUAGGCUGGUUUUCCAGGCAAAUCCGGAAAAUCAAGGCUGAGGCGUGAUGACGAGGCACUACGGUGCUGAAGCAACAAAUGCCCUGCUUCCAGGAAAAGCCUCUAAGCAUCAGGUAACAUCAAAUCGUACCCCAAACCGACACAGGUGGUCAGGUAGAGAAUACCAAGGCGCUUGAGAGAACUCGGGUGAAGGAACUAGGCAAAAUGGUGCCGUAACUUCGGGAGAAGGCACGCUGAUAUGUAGGUGAAGUCCCUUGCGGAUGGAGCUGAAAUCAGUCGAAGAUACCAGCUGGCUGCAACUGUUUAUUAAAAACACAGCACUGUGCAAACACGAAAGUGGACGUAUACGGUGUGACGCCUGCCCGGUGCCGGAAGGUUAAUUGAUGGGGUUAGCGGUAACGCGAAGCUCUUGAUCGAAGCCCCGGUAAACGGCGGCCGUAACUAUAACGGUCCUAAGGUAGCGAAAUUCCUUGUCGGGUAAGUUCCGACCUGCACGAAUGGCGUAAUGAUGGCCAGGCUGUCUCCACCCGAGACUCAGUGAAAUUGAACUCGCUGUGAAGAUGCAGUGUACCCGCGGCAAGACGGAAAGACCCCGUGAACCUUUACUAUAGCUUGACACUGAACAUUGAGCCUUGAUGUGUAGGAUAGGUGGGAGGCUUUGAAGUGUGGACGCCAGUCUGCAUGGAGCCGACCUUGAAAUACCACCCUUUAAUGUUUGAUGUUCUAACGUUGGCCCCUUACCGGGGUUGCGGACAGUGUCUGGUGGGUAGUUUGACUGGGGCGGUCUCCUCCUAAAGAGUAACGGAGGAGCACGAAGGUUGGCUAAUCCUGGUCGGACAUCAGGAGGUUAGUGCAAUGGCAUAAGCCAGCUUGACUGCGAGCGUGACGGCGCGAGCAGGUGCGAAAGCAGGUCAUAGUGAUCCGGUGGUUCUGAAUGGAAGGGCCAUCGCUCAACGGAUAAAAGGUACUCCGGGGAUAACAGGCUGAUACCGCCCAAGAGUUCAUAUCGACGGCGGUGUUUGGCACCUCGAUGUCGGCUCAUCACAUCCUGGGGCUGAAGUAGGUCCCAAGGGUAUGGCUGUUCGCCAUUUAAAGUGGUACGCGAGCUGGGUUUAGAACGUCGUGAGACAGUUCGGUCCCUAUCUGCCGUGGGCGCUGGAGAACUGAGGGGGGCUGCUCCUAGUACGAGAGGACCGGAGUGGACGCAUCACUGGUGUUCGGGUUGUCAUGCCAAUGGCACUGCCCGGUAGCUAAAUGCGGAAGAGAUAAGUGCUGAAAGCAUCUAAGCACGAAACUUGCCCCGAGAUGAGUUCUCCCUGACUCUUUAAGGGUCCUGAAGGAACGUUGAAGACGACGACGUUGAUAGGCCGGGUGUGUAAGCGCAGCGAUGCGUUGAGCUAACCGGUACUAAUGAACCGUGAGGCUUAACCUU
rnacentral:rRNA from 1 species